UGGCUUAUGUAGAAUGGGUGACCAGGAC
rnacentral:piRNA from 1 species